GACGGGGGAGGCAAGCGUUAUCCGGAAUCACUGGGCGUAAAGCGUCUGUAGGUGGUGAUGCAAGCCACUGGUGCAAAGCUCUGGCUCAACCGGAGGAAAGCCAGUGAAACUGCAUGACUAGAGUGUGGGAGAGGUAGAAGGAAUUCCCUGAGUAGCGGUGAAAUGCGUAGAUACAGGGAAGAACACCGGAGGCGAAAGCGUUCUACUGGAACACAACUGACACUGAGAGACGAAAGCUAGGGGAGCGAAUGGG
rnacentral:rRNA from 1 species